GAUGAACGCUGGCGGCGUGCCUAAUACAUGCAAGUCGAGCGAACGGACGAGAAGCUUGCUUCUCUGAUGUUAGCGGCGGACGGGUGAGUAACACGUGGAUAACCUACCUAUAAGACUGGGAUAACUUCGGGAAGCCGGAGCUAAUACCGGAUAAUAUUUUGAACCGCAUGGUUCAAAAGUGAAAGACGGUCUUGCUGUCACUUAUAGAUGGAUCCGCGCUGCAUUAGCUAGUUGGUAAGGUAACGGCUUACCAAGGCAACGAUGCAUAGCCGACCUGAGAGGGUGAUCGGCCACACUGGAACUGAGACACGGUCCAGACUCCUACGGGAGGCAGCAGUAGGGAAUCUUCCGCAAUGGGCGAAGGCCUGACGGAGCAACGCCGCGUGAGUGAUGAAGGUCUUCGGAUCGUAAAACUCUGUUAUUAGGGAAGAACAUAUGUGUAAGUAACUGUGCACAUCUUGACGGUACCUAAUCAGAAAGCCUCGGCUAACUACGUG
rnacentral:rRNA from 1 species